rnacentral:lncRNA from 1 species
GUGCAUUCUUAAAUUGAUUUCACGUCGAAGCCCCAUGAUUGUAUUGUAACAUCCCUCAAUUUUAAAAAUUUUAUAAGGGAUUAUUUGUAAUGUAAAGACCUAAGAGUAAAUAUUAGAAAUUUGAGAUGAUUUAUGAAAGAUUCAGAUUUAAGUUAAAGAAAAAAAAAGAAAAAAAAAUGGUGGACAUGUGUCACUAGCUAACCUAAGGUUCGUGCCACUUAUAUUUGCUAUAAGGAUGACACCUAGCCCCUUUCAUGCAUGUUUACCACCUUGCAACCUUGCAACCCUUGUGUUAGCCAAAAGUAAUUAAAUGAGAGAUUAAAAGAAACUUAACCAAAUAGAGAUACUUACUGCAAUGUUGGUUUGAGAUGAGAAGGGAAUUGAAGAAGAAGAAGAAGAAGAAGAAGAAAAAGAAAAAGAAAA